AACACAUACUAAAAUUAGAGAUUAAUUAUGGUCAUCAUGCUUUUAAUUACAUCUAGAAAUCGAGAACAGUGAGGAAACUGGUCAAUACAUAGUUGGAUGAGGAGGCUACCCAAAUAAAGAUGGGCUGGUCCAGUGUGGUGCAGCUAUCACGGAAGGUCUCACUAGUUGAUUUGGAGCAGUGGCAGCCUUAACGUGGGUGUAUCUACAUCAGGCUCUCCCUUUAACUAUCCUGGAAGAGUGGGGGAUUCUUCAGGGUGUGGUCUGUAUGCAGAUUAUCAGAUGAUGGACGCUCAAGCUGGUUUACAAAACUAAAGAGAAAAAAAAGACAUCUUAACUAAUAGUUAUAUUUUGCAAAGCAGAUUUUCUUCUAGGCAAUUUAAGAAAUCGUAACUUAAAGAAUAACUUGUUAAAAAAAAUCAUACUCUACUAAAUUUCAACUUUUUUUUACAUGGAGUAAACAUUGUUUUAAAAAUAUGGAAAAGUAUCUGUAUAUAACAUGCC
rnacentral:lncRNA from 1 species